UGACGAUCAUAAAACUUCGAAAUUGUGACAAUUACCCGAAUCCGAUUGUUAACAGAUUCUCUAAAUUUUGAACGUUAAAAAUUAAAUUAAUGUAAAACUAAAAAACAUUUGAAAAGCACUAUAAUUGUGACAAGAACAUUCAAUUUAUCAAGGUUUAAUGAAAAUGUCUCUAUGUGAUUAAAUGAUUCUGAAGAAGAUAUGGAUUCUGAUGAUGAUGAUAUUCCAGCUGACGUGAAUAAAAUAUAUGCUUAUAAAGGACGUCUUUUCUGUUGCUCAUGUAGUUACUCGACUCCUCACAUGAGUCGCAUUAAAGCCCAUUUAGUUGUUCACAGUGGAAAACGUCCUUUUACUUGUGAAGUGUGCAUGAAAAGUUUUAUUCGUAAAGGGGAUUUAAAAGAUCAUUUUCUGACGCAUACAGAUGAACGACCUUAUUCUUGCCCAAUCUGCAAAAAACCUAUGCGUUUUCGAAGCAGUUUAAAAUACCAUAUGAAUACCCAUAAGAAAGAUGAUAAAAAUGACAGCCAAGACAAUUGUGAUGUGAAUGAAAAUUAGAAAUAUUUAUUCGGAUUUAUUUGAUCUUAGUUUUGCUUUUACAGUAAAACGCCUUUUUAUGUGUUUUAACGGGCUGAGACAUAAUAUGAAUUAAUGAGGUCCGCGACAUGGAGCUUUUGGGGCCUGUUCCAAAUUCCUUCAACUUUUGAAGAUUAAACAAUUGUUGACAGUCGACUUUUCAAACGAUCCAGUUCAUAGUUUUCACGUGACGCCAUUAUUUUUUAUUUGAUAAUAAUCCAUUUUUCAAUGUUAUAAAUAAUUUAUCAAAACAACAAAUUAUGGUUAAAAAAAUUACAAUAUUAAAGGAAAAUACAAUUUGCAAUUUUUUGAAACUUAUCAAGCAUUUUUACUGACUUUGGAUUGAUCAACCUGCUUCAGAUAUUCCAAUCAGAUUCUCAAUAUUUUAAAUAAUUUUUAAAAAAAUUUUUCAUUAUUUUAACUAAUUUAUAAAAACAACAAAGUAUAAUUAAAAAAAUUGCAAUAUUAAAGGAAAAUACAAUUUGCAGCCAAUAACUUGAUUAAAAUUUAUUGACUACUUUCUAGCUGUAUUGUUGCUACAUCUUGGUGCAAGCUCCCAAAAAAUCCAAGUCAGAGAACUGACCCAUUAUCAUAUACUUAAAACACACUUUAAUCAUGAAAAUCUUGCUUCCUAGCAAGCUAAUAUAACUUUUGAUGUAUAUCUUAUUCUUUAUGUAAAUUGUGUGUCGAUUUAAUCUAUGCAUAUAUAUCAUAAUUUAACACAAGUGCUUUUUAACAAAAAAUAAUCUAUGCAUUAUUUUUUUUUUCUAUUUUGUUUUACAAGCAGCAUAAUCAUUUUUUUUUUUUAGCUAGUGAAACUUAUUUUUGAAUUGUAUCACAUUUAAUCCAGAUAAAUGCUGUAAAGACAAAUAAUGUAUUUAAAAUAAGUCCCUUUAAAUUACUGUAUUGUUUUUGUGAAUUUUUUCUUUUCAUUCCUUUAACUCUAAUUUAUCCUUCCAAUUUAUUUUAGUGAUCUGCAUCUUCAAAAUUUUCCAUAAUAAAAGCAAAAAUUUAAAUAGUUUUAAUUAAGAAAGACAAGGAAAAUAAGUUUUGUAAUAGAUGGCUAAGAAUAGAAUAUGAAUGUUAAAAAAUAUAAACUGAAAGCAUAUAAAUAGUGUGUAACUGUAUUUCAUAAGAAAGCAAUGUGAAAAUUAAUGUUACAAACAAUUUUUUUGUUAGAAUUUUCCAGAUAUUUAUGUGCUUACAAUAAUGCUUAUGUCUGUUAUGUUUUAUAGCCUUAAAGUCAUGUAAUUAUUAACAGCAUUCCACUUUAAAUUUAGAAUUGUUAGUUUUUUCUUUAAAAAAAAGGAGGAAAAAGAACAGUUGUUUAUUUGAACUCAUAUGAUGCAAUGUAUCCCAGAUCCCCCCCCACCCCAAUCCUCUUCAUGAAACUUUUAAAUUCUAGAGACAUUUUCCCCUCUCUCCUAUAGGUUUGCUUUUAUUUUAGCAGUCUAAAAUUAUUUUUGAUGCUUUAUUAUUAAUACUGUAGGAUUAUAUGAUG
rnacentral:lncRNA from 1 species